rnacentral:rRNA from 1 species
UCACUGGGCUUAAAGCGUGCGUAGGCGGCUUGGUAGGUGAGAUGUGAAAGCCCACGGCUCAACCGUGGAAUUGCGUUUCAAACCCCCAAGCUCGAGGAAGAUAGGGGUGAUGGGAACUUAUGGUGGAGCGGUGAAAUGCGUUGAUAUCAUAGGGAACACCGGUGGCGAAAGCGCAUCACUGGAUCUUUUCUGACGCUGAGGCACGAAAGCUAGGGUAGCGAACGGGAUUAGAUACCCCGGUAGUCCUAGCCGUAAACGAUGAACACUGGGUUGAGGGGACUUCCACAUCCUCUCGGCCGUAGCGAAAGCGUUAAGUGUUCCGCCUGGGGAGUAUGGUCGCAAGGCUGAAACUCAAAGGAAUUGACGGGGGCUCACACAAGCGGUGGAGGAUGUGGCUUAAUUCGAGGCUACGCGAAGAACCUUAUCCUAGAUUUGACAUGCUUGAGAAUCCCUAUGAAAGUAGAGAGUGCCCUUCGGGGAGCUCUUGCACAGGUGCUGCAUGGCU